rnacentral:rRNA from 1 species
UGAGGAAUAUUGGUCAAUGGGCGAGAGCCUGAACCAGCCAAGUAGCGUGCAGGAUGACGGCCCUAUGGGUUGUAAACUGCUUUUAUAAGGGAAUAAAGUGAGCCUCGUGAGGCUUUUUGCAUGUACCUUAUGAAUAAGGACCGGCUAAUUCCGUGCCAGCAGCCGCGGUAAUACGGAAGGUCCGGGCGUUAUCCGGAUUUAUUGGGUUUAAAGGGAGCGUAGGCCGGAGAUUAAGCGUGUUGUGAAAUGUAGGCGCUCAACGUCUGCACUGCAGCGCGAACUGGUUUCCUUGAGUACGCACAAAGUGGGCGGAAUUCGUGGUGUAGCGGUGAAAUGCUUAGAUAUCACGAAGAACUCCGAUUGCGAAGGCAGCUCACUGGAGCGCAACUGACGCUGAAGCUCGAAAGUGCGGGUAUCGAACAGGAUUAGAUACCCUGGUAGUCCGCACGGUAAACGAUGGAUGCCCGCUGUUGGUCUGAACAGGUCAGCGGCCAAGCGAAAGCAUUAAGCAUCCCACCUGGGGAGUACGUUCGCAAGAAUGAAACUCAAAGGAAUUGACGGGGACCCGCACAAGCGGUGGAGCAUGUGGUUUAAUUCGAUGAUACGCGAGGAACCUUACCCGGGCUUGAAUUGCAGAGGAAGGAUUUGGAGACAAUGACGCCCUUCGGGGCCUCUGUGAAGGUGCUGCAUGGUUGUCGUCAGCUCGUGCCGUGAGGUGUCGGCUUAAGUGCCAUAACGAGCGCAACCCCUCUCCUUAGUUGCCAUCAGGUUAAGCUGGGCACUCUGGGGACACUGCCACCGUAAGGUGUGAGGAAGGUGGGGAUGACGUCAAAUCAGCACGGCCCUUACGUCCGGGGCUACACACGUGUUACAAUGGCAGGUACAGAGAGACGGUCCCUUGCAAAAUGGAUCAAAUCCUUAAAGCCUGUCUCAGUUCGGACUGGGGUCUGCAACCCGACCCCACGAAGCUGGAUUCGCUAGUAAUCGCGCAUCAGCCAUGGCGCGGUGAAUACGUUCCC